rnacentral:rRNA from 1 species
UACGUAGGGUGCGAGCGUUAAUCGGAAUUACUGGGCGUAAAGCGUGCGCAGGCUGUUUUGUAAGUCAGAUGUGAAAUCCCUGGGCUCAACCUAGGAACUGCGUUUGAAACUACAAGGCUAGAGUGUAGCAGAGGGGGGUAGAAUUCCACGUGUAGCAGUGAAAUGCGUAGAGAUGUGGAGGAAUACCAAUGGCGAAGGCAGCCCCCUGGGUUAACACUGACGCUCAUGCACGAAAGCGUGGGGAGCAAACAGG